rnacentral:rRNA from 1 species
GACGAACGCUGGCGGCGUGCUUAACACAUGCAAGUCGAACGGAAAGGCCCCCUUGUGGGGUACUCGAGUGGCGAACGGGUGAGUAACACGUGAGUAACCUACCCUUGACUUUGGGAUAACUUCAUGAAACUGGGGCUAAUACCGGAUAGGAGCUCCUGCUGCAUGGUGGGGGUUGGAAAGUUUCGGCGGUUGGGGAUGGACUCGCGGCUUAUCAGCUUGUUGGUGGGGUAGUGGCUCACCAAGGCUUUGACGGGUAGCCGGCCUGCGAGGGUGACCGGCCACAUGGGGACUGAGAUACGGCCCAGACUCCUACGGGAGGCAGCAGUGGGGAAUAUUGCACAAUGGGCGGAAGCCUGAUGCAGCAACGCCGCGUGCGGGAUGACGGCCUUCGGGUUGUAAACCGCUUUCGCCUGUGACGAAGCGUGAGUGACGGUAAUGGGUAAAGAAGCACCGGCUAACUACGUG